GAUGAAUGCUGGCGGCGUGCCUAACACAUGCAAGUCGAGCGGCAGCGCGCGGAGUUUACUCUGUGGCGGCGAGCGGCGGACGGCUGAGUAACGCGUGGGAACAUGCCCCAAAGUGAGGAAUAACUGCCCGAAAGGGUGGCUAAUACAGCAUAUGGUCUUCGGAUUAAAGGGUUUAUCCGCUUGGGGAGUGGCCUGCGUACGAUUAGAUUGUUGGUGAGGUAAUGGCUCACCAAGUCGACGAUCGUUAACUGGUCUGAGAGGAUGAUCAGUCAGACUGGAACUGAGACACGGUCCAGACUCCUACGGGAGGCAGCAGUGAGGAAUCUUCCACAAUGGGCGAAAGCCUGAUGGAGCAACGCCGCGUGCAGGAUGAAGGCCUUCGGGUUGUAAACUGCUUUUAUAAGUGAAGAAUAUGACGGUAACUUAUGAAUAAGCACCGGCUAACUACGUGCCAGCAGCCGCGGUA
rnacentral:rRNA from 1 species